ensembl:snRNA U6 U6 spliceosomal RNA
GUGCUUGCUUCUGCAGCGCGUAGACUAAAAUGGGAACAAUUCAGAGAGUACCAUGGCCCCUGUGCAAGAAUGGCACACAAAUUUGUGAAAUGUUCAUAUUAAAG